rnacentral:piRNA from 3 species
GGUUAGGAUUCGGCGCUCUCACCGCCGCGG